rnacentral:rRNA from 1 species
AGAGUUUGAUCCUGGCUCAGGAUGAACGCUAGCGGCAGGCCUAACACAUGCAAGUCGAACGGUAACAUGAGAGCUUGCUCUCGAUGACGAGUGGCGCACGGGUGCGUAACACGUAUGCAACCUACCUUCAACUGGGGGAUAGCCCGAAGAAAUUCGGAUUAAUACCCCAUAAUAAUAGAAAUUCGCAUGUUUUUCUAUUUAAAACUCCGGUGGUUGAAGAUGGGCAUGCGUCCUAUUAGUUAGUUGGUGAGGUAACGGCUCACCAAGACUCCGAUAGGUAGGGGUUCUGAGAGGAAGAUCCCCCACACUGGUACUGAGACACGGACCAGACUCCUACGGGAGGCAGCAGUGAGGAAUAUUGGACAAUGGACGAAAGUCUGAUCCAGCCAUGCCGCGUGUAGGAAGACUGCCCUCUGGGUUGUAAACUACUUUUAUAAGGGAAUAAACCCCCGUACGUGUACGGGGCUAAAUGUACCUUAAGAAUAAGCACCGGCUAACUCCGUGCCAGCAGCCGCGGUAAUACGGAGGGUGCAAGCGUUAUCCGGAUUUAUUGGGUUUAAAGGGUCCGUAGGUGGAAUUGUAAGUCAGUGGUGAAAUCUUUCGGCUUAACCGGAAACUGCCAUUGAUACUGCAGUUCUUGAGUAUGCUCGAGGUAGGCGGAAUAUGUCAUG